rnacentral:rRNA from 1 species
AUUGAACGCUGGCGGCAGGCCUAACACAUGCAAGUCGAACGGUAGCACAGAGAGCUUGCUCUCGGGUGACGAGUGGCGGACGGGUGAGUAAUGUCUGGGAAACUGCCCGAUGGAGGGGGAUAACUACUGGAAACGGUAGCUAAUACCGCAUAACGUCGCAAGACCAAAGUGGGGGACCUUCGGGCCUCACACCAUCGGAUGUGCCCGGAUGGGAUUAGCUAGUAGGUGGGGUAAUGGCUCACCUAGGCGACGAUCCCUAGCUGGUCUGAGAGGAUGACCAGCCACACUGGAACUGAGACACGGGCCAGACUCCUACGGGAGGCAGCAGUGGGGAAUAUUGCACAAUGGGCGCAAGCCUGAUGCAGCCGUGCCGCGUGUAUGAAGAAGGCCUUCGGGUUGUAAAGUACUUUCAGCGGGGAGGAAGGCGGUGAAGUUAAUAGCUUCACCGAUUGACGUUACCCGCAGAAGAAGCACCGGCUAACUCCGUGCCAGCCGCCGCGGUAA